UCCAGGGUAGCCUAGUGGACAUGGCAUCUGCCCGGUAAGCGGAACACUGUGGGUUCGAUUCCCAUCCCUGGAA